ensembl:lncRNA
AUGAGAGAAACUAAUCAUUUUCGUUUCCGAGGAAAGGCUCCCCCUCCGCGCAGUUGGAACUGGAUGCUGUGCCGGGUGCGGGGCAUUGUGGGAGUAACGAGGCCGCAGCCCGUGGGGGGGGGGGGGGGGGGGGGCUCACGCCCCACUUGGAGGAGCAGCAAGCGCGUGCGGCCUGGGCGGAGAGCACCACCACCUCAAAACUCUGUGACUCGGCCGGAGUUCAUGGCUUUAGCACUUGCGGGUGCCUGUUUCUCUGGAAGGCCUCCUCCAGGACGGAAAGGCAGGUGAUGAAUGAAAAUGGAUUCAUGGACACAAGUGACAAAGCCUGAUGCUCCCAGAGUGAUGAACCCCUUCCACGUGUGUCCACUCACUUUCCUGGAAAAUGAGGAGUUGCCUUCACUUUUUCCUUUGUUUUUGUUCUUACUGUCAAAAAAGAAAUCCAUUAAAAAAUGAAGUAAAGAGUUAUCAUUUAUCAUGCUGUGGUAAUCAAAAGAGUAAGUUUAAAUACAAAAGUGGUGUUAGGAUUUAAAUAAUCCACUUAGAAGUAAAGCGAAAAUGAUUAAAAUUUACCAGGAAAAACAUACAAACACUCAAGUUUUACCUUUUUGGGUAUCACCCAGGGCAUAUUUCUCCUUUCAGGUUUACACUUUAUCUACACAGUUUUUGUCUUGAAACUAUCCUGGAACCUUGCAGGGCUGACCUGGUAUAUUUACUGUAGUGAAGCUUCUGUAAAUCUGUUCUCAUAAGUACAGCCAGCAAUGGCCUGGGUGAAUUAUGUAUGGAGAGUGAAAAUUAACUGCUCACUUGAAGGGCACAAAUGUUGAGAGUUACCUAAGGGCAUUUUGAAAAUAGCAAGUGUCUGUAACUGAUUUCAAAAAGGACAUCUCAUCUAAUUAAAAGCAGUAGACAUCACAUUAAAGUUGCAAAUCAUAUACUUGGAGUUGCAUUUGGAAUUCUCCCUCAAAUUUCAUUUACCUGGACAUUUGAAUCUGGGUGAGGUGAGAGAUGCCGCUGGACUCUAAGGACAACAAUUCAUCCGCUCCCAUUGUAUUAACUUUUAAACUUCUCCCCAGCCUACUUUCUCCUGCUGACUUCUUUUCUCAGGGACUAGGGGACUGAUGAUAUCAGCAUUAGGGUGCAGCCAAACAGGUAAUUGGCUAAUUGCCAUCGUUGAUGGUGGUGGGUAUUAAGUCUAGGGGUAAAGAAAGAGGUAUUGCUGUUUUUUUUUUUUUUUUUUUUACCUCUAUCCCUUUUUCCUUUUCCUUCCUUCUUCCUUCCUUCCUUCCUUCCUUCCUUCCUUCCUUCCUUCCUUCCUUCCUUCCUCUUUUCUUGUUCCUCCUCUACUUCAGUAAUAACAUUCCUCAAACUGAGUUAACAGAGACCUGAUUCAUAACUCUUGUGAAUUGAUGAUAGUUUUUGUUGGCCUGGAAAGCCAAGGUUCAUAGACUGCACGGAUCUCUUCCUAAACAGAGUAGGAAAUGGGGUGUCAUUUCAGGCAAUGCAUUUAGAAUCCUAGCAUCUUAAAAUCUCACAUGCCUGGACUCAUGCUUGAGAUUUGGAUUCAGUAAUUUUGAGUGGAAUGCAUGGAGCCACAGAGGUAAGACUUUGGCAAAGGCUGGGGUAGAAAUCUGAUUUUUAAAUAUUCCAGGUAGUUUUAAAAAUGGAAUGUUACUUAUUUAAGAAAAUUUUAAGUAGCUACAAAAAUGAAUAAAAUUGAGGCAUGAGCCUUUAUGCGCUCA